UACAGAGGUCUCAAGCGUUGCUCGAAAUCACUGGGCGUAAAGGGUGCGUAGGCGGGUUUUUAAGUCAGGGGUGAAAUCCUGGAGCUCAACUCCAGAACUGCCUUUGAUACUGAAAAUCUUGAGUUCGGGAGAGGUGAGUGGAACUGCGAGUGUAGAGGUGAAAUUCGUAGAUAUUCGCAAGAACACCAGUGGCGAAGGCGGCUCACUGGCCCGAUACUGACGCUGAGGCACGAAAGCGUGGGGAGCAAACAGG
rnacentral:rRNA from 1 species